rnacentral:rRNA from 1 species
UGCGUUUAUUAAGUUUGAAAGCAAUUUCUUGCUUAAAGCAUUUAUUAGAGCAAACCAGCUAUUGUGUGAAUGGGUAACUAAGCACACAGUGUGGGUGAAUCUAGAUAACUUGUCUGAUCGUAUUGGCUUUGAGCCGGCGACAUUUCAGUUGAAUCUCUGCCCUAUCAACUUGUUGGUAAGGUANUGGCUUACCAAGGUUACAACGGGUAACGGGGAAUCAGGGUUCGAUUCCGGAGAGGGAGCCUGAGAAACGGCUACCACAUCCAAGGAAGGCAGCAGGCGCGCAAAUUACCCAAUCCAGACACUGGGAGGUAGUAACGAGAAUUACUGAGUAGUGGUCCGAAUGGGCUACUAGUUUGGAAUGAACGUGAUUUAGUACAUCCGAUGAGUAACAACUAGAGGGCAAGUCUGGUGCCAGCAGCCGCGGUAAUUCCAGCUCUAGUGGCGUACUUUAAAGUUGCUGCGUUUAAAACGCUCGUAGUUGGAUCACGCGAUGUUAGGCAGUGGAAUGGCUUUGUAUACGCUUAAACCUUGCCGGUUAAUGUGGCUACGUUCUACCGUGGACGCAUUCAACUGACGCGAGGAGUAUACAAAGUUCAUUAUAAGCUGUUUAACAUUACUUGCACGUGGGAAUGGUCGUUGACCUUAAUUGAGUUGAUGAUUGUGUCUCACGGAGUGUGCCUUGAAUAAAUCAGAGUGCUUAAAGCAGGUAUUUGCCUGAAUGUUGAUAGCAUGGAACGAACAGUUGUGUAAUAGUGCAAUGAUUGAUUUGGUAUCACAAAACUUUGAGUCUAGUGUACUGGUCUCAUGCACAGCACCAACCACCAAUAUCGGAUGUUGGUUCCGUAUUGGGGUGAUGAUUAAGAGGAGCGGUUGGGGGCUUUGGUAUUUGGCAGCGAGAGGUGAAUAANUUGGCNCNANAGGUGAAAUUAA